ensembl:lncRNA
GUAUAAUAGCACUAAUAAUUAAGAUAAAUAAAUUAAUUCCAGUUGUACAAACAACAACAACAACAAAAAAAUCAGGUCAAAAUACAUUUCUUUGUGGAAGUGGGUUUGUUUACAUCACACCAUGUGGUUUUAUAAAACAUUUUUAGGGUGUGUUUUGAUCAACGCCCAAAUUCUUUUGGCCUCGGGUUUAAGCCGCGUGUAUGACGUCACACUGGGUGAUUCAAUUCGAUUCCAUUCUAAUUUCUAUUCAAUUCGGUUUGUGUGGUAAUUUCUCCUCGUUUUCUCACAUCGCACGCUACAGGUAAGUUGUAUAAAUGAUAUAUAUAUAUUGUUAGGAGUUUAAUAAUACGUGUGCACAGUAAUCCACAUAAACCAGGUGUUUCAACAUCUGUUGCAGCAAUGAGAUGCAGAAAGGAGGACCUGAUGUGCUUUAUCCAGACCCAAGUACAGGAGUCUGGCAAACAAAUUCAUAAAAAAGACCAAGUGGAGUCGUAUUUCUUCUGGCAGACAAUGGAGUUGUUCUGCUGUCGAAAUAGAGAAGUGAUGAUGUGUGAAUUCACCACAGUCAUCUUCCAGGGCUAUAGUCGGCUUAAGAAGAACCCACAACAAGUGGGUAUCUCACACAUCAGUAUCAGCAUCCGUCUGUAUAUGAUUGUGUGAUUUUGUAGUGCUUUUGCCAGCGCCGUGCUAACUAACAUGCGCCCUGCGAUGGACCGGCGCUCUGUCCAGGGUGUACGCCAUUAUAUUUAUAGUAAGUUUCAGAGCCCUGAUGUGGAGUCUGAGGCCGCUGGUUUAGCUCUGUAUGUGGAUGACUGUGUAAACAAACGAAUACAAGGUAAAAAGGAUAGAUAUGGUGAUUGAGAAAUUCACUGGAAAGUGAACUCAGCUAGAUGUUUGAUGAUGAUUAUGAUGAUAUGUGCCUUAUAUGUACCAGUGGAAAAUUUUUUUGCCCGUAUUUAGUCAUUGCAGUCCAACUCGUGCAUCGGAUUUGGAGAUACGGCCAAGAUUUCCUUCUCGAAUCACGUCACUUUCUUCCAUUUUUGUGUUUUAGUCUUUUAUAAAAGUUGUUUUAAUGCUGAUUCACUGAUAAAGCUGAUAGGAUUUUACUCGUGUGAAAUGUAUUUGUUUGUCUAUUAGUCGUAAUGACCUUAAGUGUCAUGUGCACAGUGUACUGGACUGUAAUGUUUAGAUAAUACUUAAAUUAUAGAUUUAUUUCUAUUCAUAUAAUAACACAAAGCCAAACAAAAUCAGAAGUAAUCAGCCCUAAUAGCUACUUUUUGUACACAUAUACUACCACUAUUACUAAUAUUUUGUUAAUUACGAAGUAGAUUAUUAUUGUUGUAUAUACUUGUUGUAUAUUGUUGUG